GUGGGGAAUUUUUCGCAAUGGGGGAAACCCUGACGAAGCAACGCCGCGUGGAGGAUGAAGGCCUUCGGGUCGUAAACUCCUGUCAACCGGGAAGAAAGUAGCCCGGCCCAACACGUCGGGCUAUCGACUGUACCGGUGGAGGAAGCUCCGGCUAACUCUGUGCCAGCAGCCGCGGUAAUACAGAGGGAGCAAGCGUUGUUCGGAAUUACUGGGCGUAAAGGGCGCGUAGGCGGCUUGGUCAGUCCCGUGUGAAAUCCCUCGGCUCAACUGAGGAACUGCACGGGAUACUGCCUGGCUUGAGUUCGGGAGAGGGAAGUGGAAUUCCGGGUGUAGCGGUGAAAUGCGCAGAUAUCCGGAGGAACACCGGUGGCGAAGGCGGCUUCCUGGACCGAAACUGACGCUGAGACGCGAAAGCUAGGGGAGCAAACGGGAUUAGAUACCCCAGUAGUCC
rnacentral:rRNA from 1 species